GGGUUGUGAGGUUAAGCGACUAAGCGUACACGGUGGAUGCCCUGGCAGUCAGAGGCGAUGAAGGGCGUGCUAAUCUGCGAUAAGCGCCGGUAAGGUGAUAUGAACCGUUAUAACCGGCGAUACCCGAAUGGGGAAACCCAGUGUGAUUCGUCACACUAUCAUUAACUGAAUCCAUAGGUUAAUGAGGCGAACCGGGGGAACUGAAACAUCUAAGUACCCCGAGGAAAAGAAAUCAACCGAGAUUCCCCCAGUAGCGGCGAGCGAACGGGGAGGAGCCCAGAGCCUGAAUCAGCAUGUGUGUUAGUGGAAGCGUCUGGAAAGGCGCGCGAUACAGGGUGACAGCCCCGUACACAAAAGCGCAUGUGCUGUGAGCUCGAUGAGUAGGGCGGGACACGUGGUAUCCUGUCUGAAUAUGGGGGGACCAUCCUCCAAGGCUAAAUACUCCUGACUGACCGAUAGUGAACCAGUACCGUGAGGGAAAGGCGAAAAGAACCCCGGCGAGGGGAGUGAAAAAGAACCUGAAACCGUGUACGUACAAGCNNNNNNNNNNNNNNNNNNNNNNNNNNNNNNNNNNNNNNUUGUAUAAUGGGUCAGCGACUUAUAUUCUGUAGCAAGGUUAACCGAAUAGGGGAGCCGGAGGGAAACCGAGUCUUAAUUGGGCGUUAAGUUGCAGGGUAUAGACCCGAAACCCGGUGAUCUAGCCAUGGGCAGGUUGAAGGUUGGGUAACACUAACUGGAGGACCGAACCGACUAAUGUUGAAAAAUUAGCGGAUGACCUGUGGCUGGGGGUGAAAGGCCAAUCAAACCGGGAGAUAGCUGGUUCUCCCCGAAAGCUAUUUAGGUAGCGCCUCGUGAAUUCAUCUCCGGGGGUAGAGCACUGUUUCGGCUAGGGGGCCAUCCCGGCUUACCAACCCGAUGCAAACUGCGAAUACCGGAGAAUGUUAUCACGGGAGACACACGGCGGGUGCUAACGUCCGUCGUGAAGAGGGAAACAACCCAGACCGCCAGCUAAGGUCCCAAAGUCAUGGUUAAGUGGGAAACGAUGUGGGAAGGCCCAGACAGCCAGGAUGUUGGCUUAGAAGCAGCCAUCAUUUAAAGAAAGCGUAAUAGCUCACUGGUCGAGUCGGCCUGCGCGGAAGAUGUAACGGGGCUAAACCAUGCACCGAAGCUGCGGCAGCGACACUGUGUGUUGUUGGGUAGGGGAGCGUUCUGUAAGCCUGUGAAGGUGUGUCGUGAGGCAUGCUGGAGGUAUCAGAAGUGCGAAUGCUGACAUAAGUAACGAUAAAGCGGGUGAAAAGCCCGCUCGCCGGAAGACCAAGGGUUCCUGUCCAACGUUAAUCGGGGCAGGGUGAGUCGACCCCUAAGGCGAGGCCGAAAGGCGUAGUCGAUGGGAAACGGGUUAAUAUUCCCGUACUUGGUGUUACUGCGAAGGGGGGACGGAGAAGGCUAUGUUGGCCGGGCGACGGUUGUCCCGGUUUAAGCGUGUAGGUGUGUGUUCCAGGUAAAUCCGGUUCACUUUAACACUGAGGCGUGACGACGAGGCACUACGGUGCUGAAGCAACAAAUGCCCUGCUUCCAGGAAAAGCCUCUAAGCAUCAGGUAACAUCAAAUCGUACCCCAAACCGACACAGGUGGUCAGGUAGAGAAUACCAAGGCGCUUGAGAGAACUCGGGUGAAGGAACUAGGCAAAAUGGUGCCGUAACUUCGGGAGAAGGCACGCUGACACGUAGGUGAAGUGAUUUACUCAUGGAGCUGAAGUCAGUCGAAGAUACCAGCUGGCUGCAACUGUUUAUUAAAAACACAGCACUGUGCAAACACGAAAGUGGACGUAUACGGUGUGACGCCUGCCCGGUGCCGGAAGGUUAAUUGAUGGGGUCAGCGCAAGCGAAGCUCCUGAUCGAAGCCCCGGUAAACGGCGGCCGUAACUAUAACGGUCCUAAGGUAGCGAAAUUCCUUGUCGGGUAAGUUCCGACCUGCACGAAUGGCGUAAUGAUGGCCAGGCUGUCUCCACCCGAGACUCAGUGAAAUUGAACUCGCUGUGAAGAUGCAGUGUACCCGCGGCAAGACGGAAAGACCCCGUGAACCUUUACUAUAGCUUGACACUGAACAUUGAGCCUUGAUGUGUAGGAUAGGUGGGAGGCUUUGAAGUGUGGACGCCAGUCUGCAUGGAGCCGACCUUGAAAUACCACCCUUUAAUGUUUGAUGUUCUAACGUGGACCCGUUACCCGGGUUGCGGACAGUGUCUGGUGGGUAGUUUGACUGGGGCGGUCUCCUCCUAAAGAGUAACGGAGGAGCACGAAGGUUGGCUAAUCCUGGUCGGACAUCAGGAGGUUAGUGCAAUGGCAUAAGCCAGCUUGACUGCGAGCGUGACGGCGCGAGCAGGUGCGAAAGCAGGUCAUAGUGAUCCGGUGGUUCUGAAUGGAAGGGCCAUCGCUCAACGGAUAAAAGGUACUCCGGGGAUAACAGGCUGAUACCGCCCAAGAGUUCAUAUCGACGGCGGUGUUUGGCACCUCGAUGUCGGCUCAUCACAUCCUGGGGCUGAAGUAGGUCCCAAGGGUAUGGCUGUUCGCCAUUUAAAGUGGUACGCGAGCUGGGUUUAGAACGUCGUGAGACAGUUCGGUCCCUAUCUGCCGUGGGCGCUGGAGAACUGAGGGGGGCUGCUCCUAGUACGAGAGGACCGGAGUGGACGCAUCACUGGUGUUCGGGUUGUCAUGCCAAUGGCACUGCCCGGUAGCUAAAUGCGGAAGAGAUAAGUGCUGAAAGCAUCUAAGCACGAAACUUGCCCCGAGAUGAGUUCUCCCUGAGACUUAGAGUCUCCUGAAGGAACGUUGAAGACGACGACGUUGAUAGGCCGGGUGUGUAAGCGCAGCGAUGCGUUGAGCUAACCGGUACUAAUGAACCGUGAGGCUUAACCUUACAACGCCGAAG
rnacentral:rRNA from 1 species